rnacentral:rRNA from 1 species
GACGAACGCUGGCGGCGUGCUUAACACAUGCAAGUCGAACGGGAAGGCCCUUCGGGGUACACGAGUGGCGAACGGGCGAGUAACACGUGGGUGAUCUGCCCUGCACUUCGGGAUAAGCCUGGGAAACUGGGUCUAAUACCGGAUAGGACUCCGGACUGCAUGGUCUGGGGUGGAAAGCUUUUGCGGUGUGGGAUGGGCCCGCGGCCUAUCAGCUUGUUGGUGGGGUGAUGGCCUACCAAGGCGACGACGGGUAGCCGGCCUGAGAGGGUGACCGGCCACACUGGGACUGAGAUACGGCCCAGACUCCUACGGGAGGCAGCAGUGGGGAAUAUUGCACAAUGGGCGCAAGCCUGAUGCAGCGACGCCGCGUGAGGGAUGACGGCCUUCGGGUUGUAAACCUCUUUCAGCAUCGACGAAGCGAAAGUGACGGUAGGUGCAGAAGAAGGACCGGCCAACUACGUGCCAGCCGCCGCGGUAA